UGGGUAACCUGCCCGGAAGUGGGGAAUACCUCGGGGAAACUCGAGCUAAUACCGCAUGACAUCUUUGGGACGAAAGUCCUGACGAUCAAAGCGGGGUCGCAAGAUCUCGCGCUACCGGAUGGGCCCGCGCCCGAUUAGCUAGUUGGUGAGGUAACGGCUCACCAAGGCUUCGAUCGGUAACCGGCCUGAGAGGGCGAUCGGCCACAUUGGAACUGAGACACGGUCCAGACUCCUACGGGAGGNAG
rnacentral:rRNA from 1 species